AGAGAGAGAGAGAGAGAGAGAGAGAGAGAGAGAGAGACAGAGAGAGAGAGAGACAGAUAGAGAGAGACAGAGAGAGAGAGAGAGAGAGAGAGAUUGUUUUUGUAUCAUUCUAGCCAGUGGUUUCUCUGACUUUAUGAGAUUGUUUUGAUAGUUAUACAGAGGACAGAAUGAGGAUAUAUAUGAACCAUAAAAUGUGGAAUGUUAGAUGUUUUGAUAAAUCAGGAUUGUGUUUGAGUUCACAUCAAUUGAAAGGAGUUGAAAUGAAAAAUGAAACAUUUUAAAAUACAUUUGUAUUGUAAAUAUAAUUUAUUCUCCUCCCUGCCCAGUUUUGUGGGUGAGGUGUAGGUCUAUAGAUGUUAUUUCAGUCUAGAUUGGACUUUAAGUUAUCGUCGUUGAACUUGGCCCCCCUUUUGGGAAUCCCUGGACUUCACCAUGACCACUGCAGUACUUGUCUCCCAUCUGAAGAGGAUGAUGUUGUGAUGAUGUCAGAAGAGAAUCGAUCCUGUAGCCUGAUGUCACAACAGAAGGGAAUCGAUACUAUAGACUGAUGUCACAACAGAAGAGAAUCGAUCCUGUAGCUUGAUGUCACAACAGAAGAGAAUCCAUCCUGUAGCCUGAUGUCACAACAGAAGAGAAUCGAUCCUAUAGCCUGAUGUCACAACAGAAGGGAAUCGAUACUAUAGACUGAUGUCACAACAGAAGAGAAUCGAUCCUGUAGCUUGAUGUCACAACAGAAGAGAAUCCAUCCUGUAGCCUGAUGUCACAACAGAAGAGAAUCCAUCCUAUAGCCUGAUGUCACAACAGAAGAGAAUCGAUCCUAUAGCCUGAUGUCACAACAGAAGAGAAUCGAUCCUAUAGCCUGAUGUCACAACAGAAGAGAAUCGAUCCUAUAGCCUGAUGUCACAACAGAAGAGAAUCGAUCCUAUAGACUGAUGUCACAACAGAAGAAAAUCGAUCCUAUAGCCUGAUGUCACAACAGAAGGGAAUCGAUCCUAUAGCCUGAUGUCACAACAGAAGGGAAUCGAUCCUAUAGCCUGAUGUCACAACAGAAGGGAAUCGAUCCUAUAGCCUGAUGUCACAACAGAAGGGAAUCGAUCCUAUAGCCUGAUGUCACAACAGAAGGGAAUCGAUCCUAUAGCCUGAUGUCACAACAGAAGGGAAUCGAUACUAUAGAAUGAUGUCACAACAGAAGAGAAUCGAUCCUAUAGCCUGAUGUCACAACAGAAGAGAAUCGAUCCUAUAGCCUGAUGUCACAACAGAAGAGAAUCGAUCCUGUAGCCUGAUGUCACAACAGAAGAGAAUCCAUCCUAUAGCCUGAUGUCACAACAGAAGGGAAUCGAUCCUAUAGCCUGAUGUCACAACAGAAGAGAAUCGAUCCAUUAGCAACUAAUCCUUAUCCUGCGAUAGAAAAAAAUAUCGGUUUGAGGACAUAUAUCUGGUGUUUCAGAAGCAAUUAUUGGCAGCAUGACUGUCUUCGAAAAUUGGUUUUUAAUUACACAAAGAUUGACCACGAAGAUCAAAAAAUGUCAAAUUCACUAUAAUGGAGAAUCCUGUUUUUGCAAACAAUGCCUGCAGUACCGCAGCCUGCCUCGAACUUCUGUGGCUUUAAUGAGAGUGGGAAGUCGUUCUCAUCCAAUGGCUGCCAUGUUUUUGGAUGACGUGAGUGAUGUCAUCACUUUACCAUGGUUACCAUUACAACAUGCCUUACAGUACUCUGUCUGAUAACUACUCAAGAGAAUGUCUUUAACAUAACAGGACAGUAUGAAGGAAGAAACUAUUUCGCCAAUAGAAAUCCCCGAUAAUGUUUGUAGGCGAUGUCAUGGCAACGUUGGCUCGCUAAGCUCAUGUGUAGAAACACGUCAUCAGGUCUAACGGUUGUCCUGAACUGCCCAUGUGCAGAACACGUCAUCAGGUCUAACGGUUGUCCUGAACUGCCCAUGUGCAGAACACGUCAUCAGGUCUAAUGGUUGUCCUGAACUGCCCAUGUGCAGAACACGUCAUCAGGUCUAACGGUUGUCCUGAACUGCCCAUGUGCAGAACACGUCAUCAGGACUAACGGUUGUCCUGAACUGCCCAUGUGCAGAACACGUCAUCAGGUCUAACGGUUGUCCUGAACUGCCCAUGUGCAGAACACGUCAUCAGGUCUAAUGGUUGUCCUGAACUGCCCAUGUGCAGAACACGUCAUCAGGUCUAACGGUUGUCCUGAACUGCCCAUGUGCAGAACACGUCAUCAGGUCUAAUGGUUGUCCUGAACUGCCCAUGUGCAGAACACGUCAUCAGGUCUAACGGUUGUCCUGAACUGCCCAUGUGCAGAACACGUCAUCAGGUCUAAUGGUUGUCCUGAACUGCCCAUGUGCAGAACACGUCAUCAGGUCUAACGGUUGUCCUGAACUGCCCAUGUGCAGAACACGUCAUCAGGUCUAAUGGUUGUCCUGAACUGCCCAUGUGCAGAACACGUCAUCAGGUCUAAUGGUUGUCCUGAACUGCCCAUGUGCAGAACACGUCAUCAGGUCUAACGGUUGUCCUGAACUGCCCAUGUGCAGAACACGUCAUCAGGUCUAACGGUUGUCCUGAACUGCCCAUGUGCAGAACACGUCAUCAGGUCUAACGGUUGUCCUGAACUGCCCAUGUGCAGAACACGUCAUCAGGUCUAACGGUUGUCCUGAACUGCCCAUGUGCAGAACACGUCAUCAGGUCUAACGGUUGUCCUGAACUGCCCAUGUGCAGAACACGUCAUCAGGUCUAACGGUUGUCCUGAACUGCCCAUGUGCAGAACACGUCAUCAGGUCUAAUGGUUGUCCUGAACUGCCCAUGUGCAGAACACGUCAUCAGGUCUAACGGUUGUCCUGAACUGCCCAUGUGCAGAACACGUCAUCAGGUCUAAUGGUUGUCCUGAACUGCCCAUGUGCAGAACACGUCAUCAGGUCUAACGGUUGUCCUGAACUGCCCAUGUGCAGAACACGUCAUCAGGUCUAACGGUUGUCCUGAACUGCCCAUGUGCAGAACACGUCAUCAGGUCUAACGGUUGUCCUGAACUGCCCAUGUGCAGAACACGUCAUCAGGUCUAAUGGUUGUCCUGAACUGCCCAUGUGCAGAACACGUCAUCAGGUCUAACGGUUGUCCUGAACUGCCCAUGUGCAGAACACGUCAUCAGGUCUAACGGUUGUCCUGAACUGCCCAUGUGCAGAACACGUCAUCAGGUCUAAUGGUUGUCCUGAACUGCCCAUGUGCAGAACACGUCAUCAGGUCUAACGGUUGUCCUGAACUGCCCAUGUGCAGAACACGUCAUCAGGUCUAACGGUUGUCCUGAACUGCCCAUGUGCAGAACACGUCAUCAGGUCUAACGGUUGUCCUGAACUGCCCAUGUGCAGAACACGUCAUCAGGUCUAACGGUUGUCCUGAACUGCCCAUGUGCAGAACACGUCAUCAGGUCUAAUGGUUGUCCUGAACUGCCCAUGUGCAGAACACGUCAUCAGGUCUAACGGUUGUCCUGAACUGCCCAUGUGCAGAACACGUCAUCAGGUCUAACGGUUGUCCUGAACUGCCCAUGUGCAGAACACGUCAUCAGGUCUAACGGUUGUCCUGAACUGCCCAUGUGCAGAACACGUCAUCAGGACUAACGGUUGUCCUGAACUGCCCAUGUGCAGAACACGUCAUCAGGUCUAAUGGUUGUCCUGAACUGCCCAUGUGCAGAACACGUCAUCAGGUCUAACGGUUGUCCUGAACUGCCCAGGUGCAGAACACGUCAUCAGGUCUAAUGGUUGUCCUGAACUGCCCAUGUGCAGAACACGUCAUCAGGUCUAACGGUUGUCCUGAACUGCCCAUGUGCAGAACACGUCAUCAGGUCUAACGGUUGUCCUGAACUGCCCAUGUGCAGAACACGUCAUCAGGUCUAACGGUUGUCCUGAACUGCCCAUGUGCAGAACACGUCAUCAGGUCUAACGGUUGUCCUGAACUGCCCAUGUGCAGAACACGUCAUCAGGUCUAACGGUUGUCCUGAACUGCCCAUGUGCAGAACACGUCAUCAGGUCUAACGGUUGUCCUGAACUGCCCAUGUGCAGAACACGUCAUCAGGUCUAACGGUUGUCCUGAACUGCCCAUGUGCAGAACACGUCAUCAGGUCUAACGGUUGUCAUGUGCAGGCUGUCAAAUCAAAAGCAAUCCUUCCCUGUAAAGUAGUUUUUUGUGACCAAUUGUUUAUUUGUUUUGACAUUGUUUUGUUAGGGGGUUUACAGGUACAUUGUCCAUUUCAUAUACGUUAAUACAACCUGUACUCAAGAGAAGACAACUAUGUAAGAAAUACAUAGAGAGUUUAAAUAUAAAUAAUAAAAUCAGUAUAAACAGGAAAAAAAAACAAAAAAGAACAUUGUCCACCACCCCCAACCCCCUCCAGCCAACCCCCUCCCCCCAACCCCCUCCAGCCAACCCCCUCCAGCCAAAAUGUCUCCACUCCCAACCUCCCAUUCCCCCCCAAACCCCUCCAGCCAACGCCCAACCCCCUCCAGCCAACCCCCUCCAGCCAACGCCCAACCCCCUCCAGACAAAAUGUCUCCACUCCCAACCUCCCAUUCCCCCCAACCCCCUCUAGCCAACCCCCUCCAGCCAACCCCCAACCCCCUCCAGCCAACGCCCUCCAGCCAACCUGUCUCCACUCCCAACCUCCCAACCCCCUCCAGCCAACAUGUCUCUACUCCCAACCCCCCCAACAACCCUCCAGCCAACAUGUCUCUACUCCCAAUCCCCCCAACUCCCUCCAGCCAACAUGUCUCUACUCCCAACCCCCCCAACCCCCUCCAGCCAACAUGUCUCUACUCCCAAUCCCCCCAACCCCCUCCAGCCAACAUGUCUCCACAGCUAAGGAAGAAUUCUUCACUUCUCUCAUUGACUUCUCAAACUCCAAACCACAGCCUGGUCCACUUGGUCUGCUUCACAAGCGUUCCAGGAAGUCUCUGAUGUUGCACAUCUGGGUUCAGAAACUCUGUGAUUUAUAUGUUACUGCUUUUUUGCCAAAGUAUAUUUACGGUACUUUGUUACGAUUGAGGCUUUCAGUCCAUAUUUAUAUUUCUUUAUUUGUGUGUUUAAAAAAAUAAAAAAUCUGUUUUGUAUUUAUUACAAUUUUUUUUUUUUACUCCAAAGUAUUGUGUAUUAACUUGCCCGCGGUGUCGGGUAAUACUGAACGUUCAGACAUCGUGGGCGGCAGGUAGCCUCGUGGUUCGAUCGUUGGGCCACUUGUUGAAUAUAUUCAGUCGUUCUCCAAAUCCUGAAGCUACAGAGCUAGGUCUCUGUGUAGGGAGUAG